GGACAAUGUCGAUUUUAUAUAAUGCUCGACUGCUCAUAAUUAUUCAUAUACGAAUGCCAGUUUUUAAUAGAAAGACUUUACAACAAAAUUGAGAAUCAACAAUAGUCGAACAGGGCAGUUUCAUCAUACAGGCGUUUUGAUGCAAUUUAUCUCAGAAGAAUAGAAGAUUCAGGACCCACUGAAAGGCGAACUUCUGAGCUUGUAUAGGACCUUCAUUGAUGUGUAAAAUCCUUACGUAUAGGAACCUCUAACCCCCCAAAAAAAUUCUUAUCAAGAAUUAUAAAUAUUGAAAAACAAUGAAACUGAGAUAGUCCAUCGCUAUGAAGCUGUUUUAGAUUCUUGUUGAUUUUGGUUAGGGUCUGGCGCUGUCCAAUACUGCUUAACUGCAAAAAGAACCUUCUCCCUCGCAUGAGCAGUCCUUUCAUUUUCUGCAAUUAUGACAUCCCAUUGCAUCCCAUUUACGAUGCUCUUGACUUUUAGCAAGAUAUCUACAUCAUCUCGAAUUAUUACACUACCUUCUGGCCUUAAAAUCCUAUCCAUUUCUAACAGAAUAUCUUCCAUUUCACAUCUGUCCUUAUAAAGGCUGAAAACUGAAUCAGCAUGAAUCAAGUCAUAAGUCCUUGGAUAAGUUGACAUGGCUUCACACCAAUUUUGAUAGGUUCCAAUCAACCCACGUUCAUAGAUGACCCCUAAAGUAUUGACAUCCGCUUCCACUGGGACAACGUUCAUAACCCACACAGGAUCAUCCACUAGUGCAGCUGCAAAACCUCCCAAGUAAGCAUUCAUAUCAAGCAUGUUACGAUACCGGCCCAGCUCUGCUAACUGAUGGUCAACUUCCUUGUAAUGUGCUACUCUUUUCUCCCAUAUCUCUGUAUUUUCAGUGAAAAUUUCUGGAGUAAUUCCAUUCACACUACCACUGCUAAUCCUUGGAGGGAUCGCAGUCAAUCUCUCCGGCCAUUUUGCUAGUUGCCCACCUGCUAUCUCUCUUAUGUCCGAUACCUCUGGCAGUGGAGUUAAACAGGUCUCCAUUUUGGUGUACCUAAAGGAAUAAAAGUUAGCAGCUUUCAACUAACCAGUGAAAACAAAAUAAUUUAUUAUUUUUAUUAUUAUAUUUUUUCUUGUUUCAGCAACCAUGUGAAGUAUGAAGCAAAAGAAGGAAAUGGAAGUAAGAAAAAAAUACCAACUCAAGCAAGGGAUUAGGUGGUUGGAAAGGUUAACCCAAACAGGAAAGAAUUCAAUUGGCCAGUUAGGCAUUUCCUUUAUUAUUCAAUUGGUUUUGGUAUCACAGCUAAAGCAUUACUCAACGGAAGAAGAAUUUGCUUUUCUUUUAUUUAAGUUAUCAGAAAAGUAAAUCCUGAAAAGCAAAGUUGAUCUGCUGAAGCAAUUGUGCUCAAAACACACAACAAAAUGCUGGCUUUAAAUUGUGCCAAAAUCAUUCAUGGAAAAAGACAUAUGCCUACCUCAAUCCAAAUGCUAAAUCAAUUAUUUCAAAGGCAGGGGAUGACAGUAACCCAAAACCAGAAAUUGUCAAUUCAAAUUGGAGAAAUUCAGAAACACGUUACCAUGCCUUGUCAGGAUCUUGUGACUGGCAAAAGAGAGGCUGCUUGUACACCUUUCGUUUGGCUAUACAAUGGAUGUGAUUGGUGGGUUUUUGCCAAAUAGAAAGGUCAUCCUUUUGUAUCAAUUUUUUCCAGCAUAAACUUUUGGCUACUUUCUCAAUCGAAGACUCUUCUGCUUUAAGAUCUUCAGGCGAUCUACUCCAGCCUUUCCAAUGUUUUUCCCAGUUAACCGGUGGCCCAGAGAGAACCCAGUACCCACCUGGACGAAGAACUCGAUCAACUUCAAUUAAGUACUGUCCAUCAUAUUGGCCCCAAGGAAUGAGGCAACGAGAGCAAUGAGCCAUGUCAAAAGCUCUUGAAGGGUAAGGUAGCCUAAUCGAAGCGAAAACUCCAAUCAAAGCAGGAACUCCGCGUUCCAGAGCAAAUUGGACCUGAGCUUCAUGGGUGUCUCUCGGAGCAAAUGACAUUGUUACAAUGUUCCUUGAAAGAAGGUAAGCCCCAAAGCUUGCAACCCCGCAACCAGUAUCAAUGGCGGUCCUUAUUGACCCAUCUUUUAGAUUGAUCAACUUGCCAAUAUCGUCAAUAUACGCAUCAGCCCCGCGAGGAAACAUUGUUCCGCCACCAGGGAACCUGAACCGGUCCCCCUCGAACCGAACCCAGUUCUGAUUCUUCUUCUCCACCGUCAAUUCCUUAUGAGGAACAUUAGCAUACCAAGCAAAUUCUCUACUCAUCGGCCAUCUAAACGGCACCCUGUAGCCAAACGGAGCAGGCACACGACACCUUAAAAGCUCGUUCUUUUCUGGGCAGUGUCUCUCUCUGUAUAUCAAUCUGUCCCUGUCAAAUUUCAGGGAACGAUGAACGUCCUCGCAUGGGGUGUACUCAGAGUAUUUGGGGUCGCAUGGAGGGAGGUAAGAUACACGCGCCCACGUGAGCGGAGGGUCAGGGGCGUAGUGGUGAGGUAAGAAGUCGAGGGUGGCGUUACGAAUUGGUGGAGCGCAGGAGAAUAUGGAGGUGGCGGAAGAUGGAUUGACGAGAGGGAUAUUGCCACGGGAAUUUUGGUAGAAACCUAUGAAGUAAAAGACAGUGCAUAGGAUUGUGGUGAGUGUAAGUCUGUAGAGGUUGGCUUUCUUUGUUUUUAAAGUGAGAAACGAUGUCGGAAUUGCCAUUGAAACUGAAAAGAAAGCAUCCAGAGAGAGAGAGAGAG
rnacentral:misc_RNA from 1 species